CAAAACGUGUGGUCAGGGAAGCUGCUGCAGCAGCACCAGUGGUUGUCAGUGUUGUUCUUGUAACUCCUCUCAUUCUCUCCCCACCUGCCACCAAAUCCCAGCCACACUACCUCCCAAAUAGCUCAGACCAUCCACUUCUGUCUCCACUGUACCAUUACUACUACUUAAAAAGCCUUCAGUGGCCGAACAUUGCCCUUGGGAUCAAACCCAGACUUGAGCAUGGCCUGCAGGGCUCUUCAGGAUCCAGUCCUUGCUUAGCUUGCCAGCUUUCUUUCUCAGUCUCUCCCCUCUGGCCUUCCUGCCCACCACUCCCUACCACUCUCCUAAAAGAAAUUGGGGCUCCAGCUCUCCCUAUGAAUGUUUGCAUUCCCUAAAGAUUGUGUGUGCCCAUUUCCCAGUCUUUGCACUUGCUCCUCCUCCUGCCUAGAAAGUGCUAGUCUCUGUCCAGGACGAUCCCAGUCACCCUCCAGUGCCCAGGGAGAUACUGCCUCCUCUGUGGGAAGCACCUCUGAUGGCCUGGUCUGGGUUCCCAGAGUAUCGAUAGUACUUUCUUCCCUUUUACUCAGCAUUAAACAGCCUGUUUGCAUGUCUGCCUCCCUCAGCAGUGUUCUCAUGCAUAGUUAAAUUGCCCAGAGCCCAGCCCAGUGCCUCCUGGUUGAUGGUCAAGAAGUGAUUGUCAAACAGGAUUGAAAGCCAUAGGAACUGCAGAUCACACCUGGAUGUGCUGUCCCAACUCUGCCACUUUCUAGCUAUGUAACCUUGGGCCAGUUCCUUAUUCGUUCCAAAGUCACAUGUCCUCAUCUGCAAAUUGAGGAUAAUGUUUGCCAGGGGCCAUUGUGAGGGUGAAACGAGAUGACACGCGGGAAGGGUCAGGCUCAUGGCAUGUAACAGAAAGUUAGUGUUCUGUGCUCUGUCCUCCUCUCACUACCAAGCCGUACGUGGUCCCACAUCGCUCCCUCUAACUCAUUUUCAGAUUUGAAAUCCUCCAUAGAACUUCCAUUCCUAACAGAAAAAGUUGGCUGGUGCAGGGGAGGAGUGAUUUGAAAGGCCUUCCAUUCCUUUGUCCAUCCUCAUGGCCUUAAACUUCAGGGCACAUGGCUGGAAACACUGCUCCAGACUGAGCUGCUUCCUCACAUGAGCACCAUGGUGCCAAGGCACAGCCUUGUCAGCACCCAGGGAAAGGGACACAUGCCCCCUCAGAUGUCCUCCUAGCAACACCAUGAGGAAUAGAUGAGUCCACGGAGACUCAGCAAGUGAUUGAACUGCUUAAGCUCAAGCCUGGAAGGCAAGG